CGUGCGUCGCGUUCGUCGUCGGCU
rnacentral:miRNA from 1 species